rnacentral:lncRNA from 1 species
GCAUGCACAAGAUUGAUCGAAAUUUUUUGUUUAGGCACCUUUUAUUUUUUCUUUUUCGAUUAUUUUAUGCUUUUUGGAAUUUGUUGGUCCAUUUUGGGACGAUAUUUGAGGUUCAACCUCCGUUAGACUAAAUAACCGGGUGAGGGUUACCCAACUUAGAAGGUCUAGUUUCCUUUAUUUCCUUUUCAUCAUUUUGGUGACCAAAAUUAUUUGUUUCUCAACCAAUCAUACAUACAUGCAAGUUAAAUUAUGACAGGCUGUCAAUAUAAAUUAAUCAGGAAAUACUUCUCAGAGUCGAGUAUUAUGGCACAAAUCUACACGUUGGACUCACGUCCUUACUUCGGGAUACCUAAGGUGUUCGGGUAAUACCUAAGCUUGCAAACUUUUCCAAUGUCCCUAGUCCUAGUCUUUCUUUCCUUAAACUCUAUAUACUUUCUCGUUUUCCCCACAACUGAAGCUUGUCAUAAAAAAAUAAAAUUCACGGUCUUAGUUUUGGGAAAAUCUACAAAAAAAUGGUCUUAAUGAAUCAAUCAAACUAAAAAAUAUCUAAAACAAGGAAGAAACAAAAACAUAAAAGUGCAAGAAAUAAAAAUAAUAAGAAAGCAAGAAAAAAU